rnacentral:lncRNA from 1 species
CAGCACUCUGCAAGCCCUUCAGAUGCUCAAAUACUGGAAGGGAAAACACCUAGUUUUAAAGAGACAGGACCUGAUUGAUGAGUGGAUAGCCAAAGAGGCCAAAAGGUCCAACUCCAAUAAAACCAUGGAUCCCAGCUGCUUAAAAUGGACCCCUCCCAAGGGCACUUAAAGUGACCUGUCAUUCCGAGCCAGCGAACCCCAGCAGUAGGAAUCCGUACCCUAGGGAUCUGUCUGUCAUUUCUCUGUUGCUCUUGUGAUUGGCAAGUACAGUAUCCUUUGGGAAGGCCAUCCCCCUCAGGACUGUCCUGGCUCCGACCUUUGUGUACACUGCAGACGCUGGUUCUGAGGAACUGUUGUUUCGGCCUCAGUGAGGUUGCCUGGAUGGGAUCUGUAUUAGACUUGAGUGCAGGUCUCUCAGCACUGACCCAAGGAGUUCUGUUAUGGUACUGUACCUGUCCAGUCACUGGUUCUCUCCUCAUGUCCUCUCGCCCCAUGAGGUUGUGUUGUGUCUUCUAAGCGUGGUACUAGUGCUUGCCACCUGGUCACCAGACCUCCAAAUAUGGCUGCCACCACCAGGACCUUUCCAGUUACUCCUUAUAUGUGUGUUCUAUGGAGGGGCAGGGAAAAGGUGGCACUUGUGAGUGUGUGUGGAUUGGCAGGGGGUCCAUUCACUUUGGGUUCCAUCUUGCUUUAAAUUUCUUCAUUUUGAUUAAGAGACCUCUUUUUGAUCUGUAUUGGGCUAACCAGAGCCAAAUACUUUUGAAGAGUUUCCCAGGGACUAGUCAUGGUAAUAGCAUAUAAUUGAUCUGAAUGAGAUGGAGAGAAGAAUGAAGGGGUGGUGGUUCUGGGUUUGAUUUGAGUUCACCUGUGGGCAGUGGGCAGUGGGCAGUGUCUUGGUGAAAGGGAACGGAUACUACUUUUUGCCUCACCGUAAAGUACUCACUAGUAAAUAUUUCCUUCUCUCUUUACUCCCACUUUUUACGUUUGCAGGUGCCAAAGUAAUGUCCACUUUUCCCUUUCAUGCUGCAUAUUAACUGGUUAAUUAUACUGCAGAAACCUUUUCACCUCCACUAGUCUGAUACAGUACAUCUGUACUUCCAUAUACCUUGCACUGAUUUUGUCUGAGUGCCCUGGGAGAAGUAGAAAAUGAUUGAAAGUGACUUCCGUAUCUCAGCCCAUGACUCAGCAAGGCAGAAUGGCCACCCCUGCCAAAGUUUGCUUCUCUUUUCAACAGUGCCUCACCCUCCCUCUAGGAUUAAAGUGCUUCUGCCCUUCCACGAACUCCUCCUCCAUUUCCUUUUUGGGAUUUGUCACCAUCCUUCUAUUCUCUGGUCUUCUAUUUUUGGUGUUGUUCAAGUGAAGGAAGAGAUGUUCCCUCUAAUUUCUCUCUAGCCCAUUAUAACCUGCUAUCUUGGGGCAACUUUUGAUGUAUGACAUGUCACCCUUCCCAACUUGGUCUCCUCCAACAUGCUGUCUUCAUGUGGAGCCCUCACCACAAUCCCUGACUCCGGUCAUUUGUGCCUUUCUCUUGUCAUCUCUGUACACUACUUAUAUUCACUGUGGGUUGGGGGAGCUAAUUUUAAGCAUGUUCAGUGGCAGCUCCCCUCCAGUUUCAGUGUCACUGUUAAAAUUUAUCAAAAAGCAACUUCACUAGGGGUUUUCUUAAGGGAUAAAGGCCUUUUACAGAAGCUAAACCCUUCCCCACAUGUGGUAGAAUGUGCUCUUCUAUAUCUACUCCUCAAUAAAGCAUGUUCUCUGCUC